UACGUAGGGUGCAAGCGUUAAUCGGAAUUACUGGGCGUAAAGCGUGCGCAGGCGGUUUUGUAAGACAGAGGUGAAAUCCCCGGGCUCAACCUGGGAACUGCCUUUGUGACUGGCGUGCUGGAGUAUGGCAGAGGGGGGUAGAAUUCCACGUGUAGCAGUGAAAUGCGUAGAGAUGUGGAGGAAUACCGAUGGCGAAGGCAGCCCCCUGGGCCAAUACUGACGCUCAUGCACGAAAGCGUGGGGAGCAAACAGG
rnacentral:rRNA from 1 species